rnacentral:rRNA from 1 species
UACGUAGGGGGCAAGCGUUGUCCGGAAUUAUUGGGCGUAAAGCGCGCGCAGGCGGCUACUUAAGUCUGGUGUUUAAACCAUGGGCUCAACCUGUGGUCGCACUGGAAACUGGGUGGCUUGAGUACAGAAGAGGAAAGUGGAAUUCCACGUGUAGCGGUGAAAUGCGUAGAGAUCCGGAGGAAGACCGGUGGCGAAGGCGGUCUGCUGGGCAGUUUCUGGACACUGAGGCGCGACAGCGUGGGGAGCAAACAGG